rnacentral:lncRNA from 1 species
UUUGCUGCAUAAUUAAGUGCAGCGCAUACAAUUUGCGGCCCACCGUGAGUUUUCUUUGUGCCUUCAAUUCGAGUCCAGCGCUACCCCAAAAGUUCAUUUUUCCUGCCCAGAGCAACGACACCAAUUCGCUUUUGUGGACACUGCCUUCCACACACACGUUUCUUUGUGCUGCAUUUUUCCAGCCUCAUAGGCGGAUCCUUUGCAUCUGUGGACACACACGUAUAACCACAGCUUCUCCGUUUACGGUGUUUUGUAUGUAAGUUAAAAUAAGUUAUUUCAGCAGUGCCUAUUCAUAAGAUGAUAUUUUCAAAUUAGAAUAAAUUUUUAAAUUUAAGCGUUACUAAUUUCAGUGGGGUUAAAGUAAAGUAAUGACGGAUUUAGCUGCUAUUUAUUGGCUCAGUCAUAUUUGGUACAUUUCUGUGCCCGUCAGUUAAAUUAGCUUAAGUGAAUUUAGAGGGUUUAACAUUUAAUUGAGAGAUGAUAAGAUAAGAGAUAAACCUAUAAUAAGAUUAAUUAAUUACUUUAAAGGGAAAAUGGCCUAUCUCAGCUUAAGCUAACUGACGGGUAGAAAUAUCAUCUUAAAUUUAAGUAGAAAUAUCAUAUUAAAUUUUUUUUCCCAAUGUGGGAAUACUAUUCACAAGUGCGAGAGUGCGUACAACACUUCGCUACCUAAAGGCGUAAAGCUGCCAAGUCCACUUUUUUCAAAAUAAAGCUUUUGGUGCAGAAUAACAGAUAAUGCGAGACCACAUCGAGUUUUCGUCUCCUGAACAAAUUCAAAAAAAUGGACUUGGCAUCUUUUCACCUUUAGGUAACGACUUGUACAUAUUAACGUUGCUUAGAAGUUUUUAUAUGAAAUGUGCGUAUAGGUGUACAUAUAAUUUAAGGGCUAGUUAAAGUUAGUGAAAUAUAAAAAUUAAUAAUGAAA